AGUGUUGAGUACACCCUGAUGUACCUGCGCGCCUCUCUAUCCAAUCUAGCCUCUUUAAUUAUUACAUACACCAAUCUACGCUGGUAGCGUAUGAUACCUUCUUACCUAAAGAGGGAUAUAGAACGUCAUCAUUCAACGGUAUUGGGGACAAAGAAAACGUUGUUACCGUGAAAACCACAACAUCAUUCUAGUGCUACAUUAAUUUCCCUAAUUUCAUUACUUAUCACCUAUUAUGUACAUUUAAACCAAUUUGAAAUUGUGCUAUUUAACUAUAAUUCACUUAAGUGUCGCCUUAAGCCUACAAAGUGCAUUACCAUAACCCUAAAUCUAUUCACAUUGAGAACCUACAUGCAAAGGCUAGAAGAUCGAAGCUCAAAGCUCGCAUGAUCACUGAAACAUUAUCCAAUAGCGCACAACGGGACUAAACGUAAGUCACAAUGGACAAACAUAUAUUGCAAAAAUACUAAAUGGACAUUUAUUAAUUAAGGUAAAAACAUGUAAACUAACAUGAACAUGCAUGACAUCCAUUACAGGAAUUUAAUAAUAGCCACAUUUAAACGUAAAUCCUACGUGUCCGGUCGUUUGUGGUAUUAUUAUCUUGGAAAUAAACCCUGUGCAGUUUUACGUUGGGCAAAUUCCCAACAUUUUAUUAAAUUCGUUUAUAUUAACGAAUCGGUCAAUUCGGUCAUGUCGAGCCGCGGCCGGUCAAAUAAAGGCAGUAAUGCCGGUGGGGGUGAUAGUGAUGCGAAUGGUGGUGCAACUAAUGGUGCGAUUGGUGGCAUAACUGAAGGUGGUGCAACUGGUGGUUUAAGGGUGGUGGUCACCGACGAAACCGUGGAACCGG